GCGGGACGGGCAGGGUCCGGGGACCCUCGGCGGGUUGGUGAGCGCCGCCGCGCUCCCAGGCCCGGCCGGAGCCUCCGGGGCCGCAGCGCCGAUGUCGCGUUGCGGCGGCCCCGGCCGUUCGGUGCGCGGCCGCGGCCCGGCCGUGGGUCGGGGUGACCGCCCCGGGGCAUGGCCCAGCCCGGCCCUGCCCUGCCCGGGCGGCGCUGCUGGGCCUCGCACGGGCGGGCCGUGGGACGGCGGGCGGGGCUGGGCUGGGCUGGACGCGGGGCUCGAGGCAGCGGGCAAUGCGGAACCUCGGCCUGGUGUGUCCGGUGUAGCCGGGCAGGGCCACGUUUCACACCCUGGCACACUGGCCGCAUGUUGUGUGGCAGGAAAAUCUGCUGUUUACUCCCAGCCUCCAUCCAGCUCGCUGGGAUUGUGGCUCUGCACACAGAUCAGUCAUAUUGUCAUCGGCUGCAGCAUGACAUGUAUUUCCUUACAAGCACUAGCCGACUGAAUGAGCAAGUGGUUGAUAAAAUUGUUCUUCAACUCAACAGAGUCUAUCCCCAAAUUCUUACCAAUGAAGAAGCAGAAAAGUUCAGGAACCCAAAGGCAUCACUCCAUACCAGGCUCUCAGAUCUGCUAAAACACCUCCAAAAGAAAGGAGACAGACACUGUCAGGAGUUUUACAGGGCUCUGCAGAUCAAUGCUGAACAGCUGUUUAAUGACCUGCCAAGCAGGAAAAUCUUGAAAGUAAUUUGUAUCUACCCAGCACAAACUGGUGGAGGACCAUUUUCUUGCCUGCAUGGGGAGGCUGCAGAGUUACCCCACAUUCAUACCUGAACCCUUUUGAACUGGGGAAAUCUGGGCCCAUUCUGCCUCAGAAUCUCAGAUGAGCCCCAGUCCCAACUGACUGAGCCUCGAGCAGCUGGAAGGCAAUGCUUUGAUCUGAUGUUCACCUUGUAGAAGUUGUGCACUUUGGAGAAGAGUCUCUUCAAGCAAAUUGUCUUGGAUCUGUCAUUUUUACUUUGAUAGAGGUCAAGAAACAAGUUUUUCUGCCAGCCUGACUAGCAGUUAGCAGACAGCCUUUAUGAAUUGAGAGUGGUUUGAGAAAUCUUGAUGUAGUCACUAAGAAGAAAAAUUUCAAGACUGUUUUCAUGUUUAAGAGUUGAAGCUUUUUUAAUGUUCAAUAACACAUUCUACAAGCCAUUUUUGAAAAUAUAUCUUUACAAGGAGACUUGGGUAGGGUCUGUGGGAUGUUUUCACUUUUAUCUAGAGCAGAAACGUGCUCAUCCUUACUCGUGAUUUAUGUGGUGACUCCGAGCUCUCCUCAGGUAGCCAUGAGUAGGCUCUGCAUAGCAAAUAGAAGUGCUUCACGUUAAACAUACAGCUCCUUGUGGCACACAAAAACAGUUUUGCUGCUGCUGCAAACUGCUGACUUCAGUAACCAUGAAAAGUCAUAAAAUUCUCUGUUAUUUGGGUACGCUCUUUUAUAUUACCAUCCUCAGAAGGGUAAGGAUAAUUUAAAGAACGGAGUUAAAACAUUACUGUGUGCUGAGGUUCGGUAGUUUCUUUCUGUUGACCUAAGAAAGAAAUAUUGAGAUGAUUGUCUUAAUAUGCUUGCUGUAUCUUAGAGUUCUGUAAUUAAAACAAAUGUCUGCAUUCUGGAUUGAAUGGUCAAGAAACAUCUGUGCAGCUUUUUAAGCUAAAACUGCAAACACCCUUUAUGCUUCAGGAAAAGCUCCUUUUGUCAAUAUGAGGAGUAACUUUUCAUUUAAGUGAACUUGGACAUUUUCAGUAUUAAAGGCAUUAUCCUUCAGGCCUCCAACAUGCACAAUUUGUUACUCAAAUGUUACUUCUUGGAAGUGCUCAAGGCCAAAAUCUAUAGGGUCCUGAGCACUCUGGUCAGUGGAAGGUGUCCCUGCCCAAGGCAGGAGGUUGGAACUGGGUGGUUUUCAGGGUCCCUUCCAACACAAACCAUGCUAUCAUUCUAUAAUGCUCUUAGCAGUAGUUGUUAAGUUUAUCACCAAGCAUUUACAGAACUGCCACUAGAAUUUGUAAAUAUGAAGAACAGUGAGAAUCACUAACAUGGGGCUUUUCUAAAUGCAGGCUGAGCUGAAACAAGCAGCAUUACAAACAGCUGGAGAAAUUAUCAGUGAGGACAUGGAUGAACCAUGGAUGGUUCAUGGAUGAACUCUGUAGUUCUGUAAUCGAUUACAUGCAGCUAUACAGACGACAGAUUUUUUUCAGCAGAGGAAAUCCUUUCAAAUGUUUUAUUUUCAUUUUUAAGACCGCUUUAAAAUUCAUGCUAGAACAAAAUUUCUUUGCCUGAAGCGUAAAUUGCCAAUGAAGUGUCUGGUAAUGUCUGAACAUUCCCACUAGAGGGGAGGUAAGGCACACGGUAUGGCAGCCUCAGAGCUGUUGAAGCAAAUUUGAGUUUCCAAGGGACUCAGAAAAUGUUUUUAUUUCUCUCCAUGCUGACAUAGACUUAAAGGAUAAAGGCUUGGAUCAGCCCCACACAGUGAUAGAAGUGGCAGAGAUUUGUCUGUGCUCUUCUGUGCAAUGUGAGGAUUUCCUAGCUGGAAUUUCUAGGAACAACAUCAGCUCCUCAAAGGGGCAGGCUGGGUGAGUGUGCUAGGGGCACACUGAGCUCAUGGAAGCUUUGCAGCAAUCCUUGCUGCUCCGGUGACUCUCAGGCUUCAUAGCAAAGGGCACCAGAUGCUUCUGUCCUGCUCUGUGCCCCCACAGAGAGGGAUAUCCUUAGCAGGAGAGAUGGAUGUUCCCCUGUUGCUGCCUGAGUGGACUGGGCAGUUUUCGAGGCACCUCUCUUACGUUCUGGUGUCAUGUGAAAGAAGGAGAGGAGUUAAAAUGAUCAGUCUUAAAUUCUUCCCUAUUGACAGCCAGAUUCAGAACUCUUAGUCUUUUUACUUUCCUUUUUUAACCUUCCUAGACCUUUGACAGUUGGACUUGGUGAUCAUAGAGGUCUUUUCCAACCUUUAUGAUUCUGUGUUUGCAAGACUACAGAAAGGUUUGGCUAACACAGUGUUGCAGAUCAGUGACAUGUUAUGGAAGGUCACUCCUCUGCCAUGUCUGGUGGCAGCUGUGCAUCUCCCUUCUGCAGACAGCAUGAUCUCCACAUCUGUGUGGCAAAGGCAGCUCUGAAAAGGUGUUUCUGGAAACUACUGAACACCUUGUCCUAUGGCCAGCCUCCUUUUCUACUAGAAUUUGCAGAAAGACAGAGGCUGAAAUUACUUGUGCCAGAUGUUAGCAUGGAGAACCUACAGAGUUUUAAAGAAGCUGGGCAUGCCUUCAGCUGAGACCUGCAUUUAGUAAAUAAUCUACACCAAGAAGUUUUUUCUACGUGCUUUACCUGCUAAAUACAUUAAUGCCCGGAGAUUUGCUCAAGAACAAAGAAUGGUGAUACAUUAAAUUAUAAAAAUGUUUUGAGAUUAGUGCAUCUGUUAACAAAGAGUUUCUGUGUAUUACAAUGAAAACUGCUGGUAUUGUGAAGGGUUAUCUCCUGCUUUCCUAACUUAGGAAAAAUGUGUAAUGUUAUUUAUGUGGUCAGUGCUUAAGCUGGUCAGAGGUGGGGCUGCAGCUAUUUGUAGUUGCAUUCAGAUUACUCUAUCCCUUUGUCUUUUGGUCAGUCCAACUUUAGCAAUGGUUUACCAUUGGAGGGGUUAAUACUUUAUGUCAAUAUUGGAUAUUUUUCUGAAAUUUGGUGUUUUGCACCAUUUUGCAUGUGCUGAUUAUGUUUGUUUGUUUGCUUGAGCUGAGUACUAACUUUUCAUGUGUUGCUUUUAUUUCUAGAAACCCCAGAUCCCACAGAGAUAGACACUGACAAGGAGCAAUAUAUGCUAAAUGACAGGGGUAAAUAAAUCAUACAGUGUCACUGGAUGGAAUGGCUUUGCAGAUUAUGAUGCAAUUUAUUAUAUCAUGUAAUUUGCACUGCAUACAGCAAUUACUUUGGCUUAUGAUGUCUUUACUGUCACAAGUGAAGUAGAAUUAAUGGAGGAAAAUGUACUGAGUUACUGUCGAGGAAACCAGUGCCAGGAAAUUGAAGAGACUGUAGAGUUUAAUCAGUAUUUACAAUGGUAUUACUUACACUAUUGCAGCUAAGCUCUUCAUUUCCUGUGAUUUCUUCAGUGCCUGAACAGUAAGGUCUAUUCAUUUUGCAUAAAGCCAUCAAUAACUUUUUGAUCUGGCUUUCAAUUUUUUUCAACUUUUUUUAAGUUCUCAAUUUAACUACAAGUCAUUUGAAAGCAAUGACAGAAAGGAAGGAAAAGUGUAAAUAUAUUUUCCUUAGGAAAUCAUAUUAGUUUCACCUUCCUCUGUUCAAUGCCAGAUUACAGGGACAAAUAUUUUUUUCAUGGUAGGAUAUUCUGAAAAGGAAGAUCUCAAAUAAAGAUGAAGAGCUCUCACCAUUUAUAAUGAACUAUUGUAUCAUUUAAGUUCAGUAUUUUAUUUAGAGACUUACAUACAAUAAUGAGAGAUUCAAAACACUUUCUGUGAAUUAUGCCUUUUUGCAGUUUCCUGAGAGAAAACUGAAAUAAGUAGCAGAAACACUGUUUAACUCAAUGUACAUUUUUAUCUGUGGUGGUGGUGUUUCUGUGAAUAUUGAACCAAAUUGCUGUUCAGAGUUUACACAUUGCUGUUGCUGUCUGCAGCAUAACAGUACAGGAUGAACAGAGAAAGUGCUUGGAAAUGAGAAAAUGUAGUAUUUUAUUUUUUUUCUACUUACUACUUUUUUUUUUUCUGACCUGGCCUCAGACUAGAGAUUGUUUGGCCACUAGCCACCCUCCUUGGGAGGUUACAUGCCAAAGAGCAACCAAGUCCGUGCUCCUUUGCUGUUUCUCUAAUGUCCUUCUCCACACUGUCAGCUCCAAGAAUUUGUUGAGGCAGUACACUUGUCCUUAAAUUGAUAGGUGUUGCUUAAUUGUAUCUACAAGUAGAUGUGUAGUUUAAUUAUAUCUCUGUUUCUAGUGAGAUAGUAACUACAAAUAGAGUAUUAUGUGAUAAAGAAGCAGAUGGAAAUCUUAAUGCUGUUUUGUCAGUGGAUAAGUAUGAAUUAGAAAGGUUUUAUUGAACAUCAGUACUGACCAUCACCAUUAAACUGUGUGUAAUUCCAGGCAGGCAGCUUCCGGGUGAUUUGGUUUGGAAACUUUUCCUUAAAUACCAUAGUCUGUAGCUGGUAGAUGAGCAGAGGGGAACAGGGAAUGGUGGCAAAGCAACUGUAGUAAAAAUUAUUUGCACUCCAAUAAAUGUGCUUCACAGUACAUUAGCUACAGAACAUACAGAAUUGUGAAUAUGAUAGCUUCAUUUGAACAUGCUUAAUUAUGCAUAUUGAUAACAAUUGGUGAUUUGUGAACUGAGCUAAACUUCUGCUGCCCUGCUCUGUCUCAGUGUGUUUUCUUGCCAUUUUCUGUAGGCCCAGUGUUUUUCCUGGCAUGUUUCAGCAUGGCUGCAGGACUGGCCCUUUUCUGGUACUGCUGUAACUCAGAAACGCAAGUCAUAGGAAGAGCCAGGAGAAUCUUGGGUUUUUCUCCUAUUAUCAUAGGAAGACAUGUUAGAAAUAUUUGUAUGUUGUAUUUGGAAGACGUGUCAAGAAAUUAAGGAAAAGCUGUCUCUUUGCUUGUCUGUACAGUACACCAAAGGAAGC